AGAACGAACGCUGGCGGCAUGCCUAAUACAUGCAAGUCGAACGAACUCUUCGGAGUUAGUGGCGCACGGGUGCGUAACGCGUGGGAAUCUGCCCCUUGGUUCGGAAUAACAGUUGGAAACGACUGCUAAUACCGGAUGAUGACGAAAGUCCAAAGAUUUAUCGCCAAGGGAUGAGCCCGCGUAGGAUUAGCUAGUUGGUGAGGUAAAGGCUCACCAAGGCAACGAUCCUUAGCUGGUCUGAGAGGAUGAUCAGCCACACUGGGACUGAGACACGGCCCAGACUCCUACGGGAGGCAGCAGUAGGGAAUAUUGGACAAUGGGCGAAAGCCUGAUCCAGCAAUGCCGCGUGAGUGAUGAAGGCCUUAGGUUGUAAAGCUCUUUUACCCGAGAUGAUAAUGUCAGUAUCGGAGAAUAAGCCCCGACUAACUCCGUGCCAGCAGCCGAC
rnacentral:rRNA from 1 species